AGUGAACGCUGGCGGUAGGCCUAACACAUGCAAGUCGAACGGCAGCACAGUAAGAGCUUGCUCUUACGGGUGGCGAGUGGCGGACGGGUGAGGAAUACAUCGGAAUCUACUUUUUCGUGGGGGAUAACGUAGGGAAACUUACUCUAAUACCGCAUACGACCUACGGGUGAAAGCAGGGGAUCUUCUGACCUUGCGCGAUUGAAUGAGCCGAUGUCGGAUUAGCUAGUUGGCGGGGUAAAGGCCCACCAAGGCGGCGAUCCGUAGGUGGUCUGAGCGGAUGAUCAGCCACACUGGAAGUGAGACACGGUCCAGACACCUACGGGAGGCAGCAGUGGGGAAUAUUGGACAAUGGGGGAAAGCCUGAUCCAGCCAUACCGCGUGGGUGAAGAAGGAGUUAGGGUUGUAAAGCCAUUUUGUUGGGAAAGAAAAGCAGCAGGUUAAUACCCCGCUGUUCUGACGGUACCCAAAGAAUAAGCACCGGCUAACUUCGUG
rnacentral:rRNA from 1 species